GAUGAACGCUAGCGGCAGGCCUAACACAUGCAAGUCGAGGGAGAAGCCCUUUCGGGGGCAGACACCGGCGCACGGGUGCGUAACGCGUAUGCAACCUCCCUUUCACAGGGGGAUAGCCCGAAGAAAUUUGGAUUAAUACCCCAUAAUAUUAUUGGAUGGCAUCAUUUGAUAAUUAAAACUGCGGUGGUGAAAGAUGGGCAUGCGUCCUAUUAGCUAGUUGGAGUGGUAACGGCACCCCAAGGCUACGAUAGGUAGGGGUCCUGAGAGGGAGAUCCCCCACACUGGUACCGAGACAGGGACCAGACUCCUACGGGAGGCAGGAGUGAGUAAUAUUAGUCAAUGGUCGGUAGACUGAACCAGCCAUGCCGCGUGCAGGAAGAAUGCCUUAUGGGUUGUAAACUGCUUUUAUAGGGGAAGAAUAAGGCGUACGUGUACGUUGAUGACGGUACCAUAUGAAUAAGCAUCGGCUAACUCCGUG
rnacentral:rRNA from 1 species